CACGAAGUUGGUCUGGGUCGAUGCACUGGGUGUGUGGCUCGCACCUAGCCAGCACAAAUCAGGAGGAGACAAUGAAUACUUUUCAAUUAACGCUCCUGUUUUGCAACCACACAAAGUUAUAAAUGAGAAACGGGCUCCUGUAGCCCGACCCACAGGACGUCGCCAUGACAGACCAAGUGGACCCACCCACCACCUCCCACGCUUACACCCCACCCACAAUCCCACCGCCAGCUCGCUGACAAGACUCUACACGCAUCUCUCCACUCCUGCAAGACUGCUCGAA